CUGAAUCUUCCUUGGCCACCAUUGGCAUCUGAUUUGACAAUAGAUAAUGUGCAAAAAGUGGUUCCAUGUGAACUUUUUAAUGUAUUGGCUUGGACUUGUGGAUUCUCUUCAGAGCCAACUUUAAGCUUUGUUAGUGAUGUUCCAACUACUCUUGCAUGGGAUAAUGCGUUUGGCCAAGGCUAUAUUUAAGCGAAAUAUUUAACUUGUUUCUUGAUUGUGUGAGUUGUAUGUAUAUUUAUAUAUUCUCCGUCCUGUUUGAUACAGGUGGGUUUUUUACCUCACAAAUUUUUAUUGAAUUAAGAUGUUAAUAAGUAGAAUUAUACGUUAAAACGGUAUUUUGAAACAAUAGCCAAUAAAUUGAAGUGAUUUAGCAUAUGAGCAAGCAAAAUGUACAAUGUGUUUUAACAAUA
rnacentral:lncRNA from 1 species